GGGUCGUUAGCUCAGCUGGUAGAGCAGCGGACUUUUAAUCCGUUGGUCGCAGGUUCG
rfam:Chromobacterium aquaticum strain CC-SEYA-1 NODE_14_length_175964_cov_31.256718, whole genome shotgun sequence.